rnacentral:rRNA from 1 species
UUGCCUGAAAAGUUUUGCAUGGAAUAAUGGAAUAGGACUUCGGUUCUAUUUCGUUGGUUUUCGGAUCCGAAGUAAUGAUCAAAAGGGACAGGCGGGGACGUUUGUAUGGCUGCGCUAGAGGUGAAAUUCGUGGACCGUAGCCAGACAAACUAAAGCGAAAGCAUUCGUCAAGCAUGUUUUCAUUGACCAUGAGCGAAAGUCAGAGGCUCGAAGACGAUCAGAUACCGUCCUAGUUCUGACCAUAAACGAUGCCAACUGACGAUCCGUGGUGGUAGUUAUCGAACCUUCCCCACGGGCAGUCCCCGGGAAACCUUUAAGUCUUUGGGUUCCGGGGGAAGUAUGGUUGCAAAGCUGAAACUUAAAGGAAUUGACGGAAGGGCACCACCAGGAGUGGAGCCUGCGGCUUAAUUUGACUCAACACGGGAAAACUCACCCGGGCCGGACACUAUGAGGAUUGACAGAUUGAUAGC